rnacentral:rRNA from 1 species
AGUUUGAUCAUGGCUCAGAUUGAACGCUGGCGGGAUGCUUUACACAUGCAAGUCGAACGGCAGCACGGACUUCGGUCUGGUGGCGAGUGGCGAACGGGUGAGUAAUGUAUCGGAACGUGCCUAGUGAAGGGGGAUAACUACGCGAAAGGUAGCUAAUACUGCACACGGCCCUUCGGGGGAAAGCGGGGACCUUCUGGCCUCGCACUAUUAGAGCGGCCGAUAUCGGAUUAGCUAGUUGCGGGGUAACGGUCACUCGCGACGAUCCGUAGCUGGUUUGAGAGGACGACCAGCCACACUGGGACUGAGACACGGCCCAGACUACGUGAGGCAGCAGGGGGAAUUUUGACAAUGGGGAAAACCCUGAUCCAGCCAUCUCAUGUGUGCGAUGAAGGCCUUCGGGUUGUAAAGCACUUUUGGCAGGAAGAAACGGCACGGGAUAAUACCCCGUGCAACUGACGGUACCUGCAGAAUAAGCACCGGCUAACUACGUGCCAGCAUCCGCGGUAAUACGUAGGUGCAAGCGUUAAUCGGAAUUACUGGGCGUAAAGCGUGCGCAGGCGGUUCGAAAAGAAAGAUGAAAUCCCAGAGCUUAACUUUGAACCACUGCAUUUUUAACUACCGAGCUAGAGUGUGUCGAGGGAGGUGGAACUCCGCGUGUAGCAGUGAAAUGCGUAGAUAUGCGGAGGAACACCGAUGGCGAAGGCAGCCUGGGAUAACACUGACGCUCAUGCACGAAAGCGUGGGGAGCAAACAGGAUUAGAUACCCAAGGCGAAGGCGGCUAUACACAGUAGUCCACGCCCCAAACGAUGUCAACUAGCUGUUGGGGCCUUCGGCCUUGGUAGCGCAGCUAACGCGUGAAGUUGACCGCCUGGGGAGUACGGUCGCAAGAUUAAAACCCAAAGGAAUUGACGGGGACCCUGCACAAGCGGUGGAUGAUGUGGAUUAAUUCCGAUGCAACGCGAAAAACCUUACCUACCCUUGACAUGUCUGGAAUCCCGAAGAGAUUUGGGAGUGCUCGCAAGAGAACCGGAACACAGGUAUGUAUGGCUGUCGUCAGCUCGUGUCGUGAGAUGUUGCUGGAGUCCGCAACGAGCGCAACCCUUGUCAUUAGUUGCUACGAAAGGGCACUUUAAUGAGACUGCCGGUGACAAACUGGAGGAAGGUGGGGAUGACGUAGUCAAGUCCUUCAUGGCCUCUUAUGGGUAGGGCUUCACACGUCAUACAAUGGUCGGGACAGAGGGUCGCUAACCCGCGAGGGGGAGCCAAUCCCAGAAACCCGAUCGUAGUCCGGAUCGCAGUCUGCAACCUCGACUGCGUGAAGUCGGAACGCUAGUAAUCGCGGAUCAGCAUGUCGCGGUGAAUACGUUCCCGGGUCUUGUACACACUGCCCGUCACACCAUGGGAGUGGGUUUUACCAGAAGUAGUUAACCUAACCGUAAGGAGGGCGAUUACCACGGUAGGAUUCAUGACUGGGUGAAGUCGUAACAAGGUAA